rnacentral:piRNA from 1 species
UCUUCUACAGUUCUUGGUUAUUCAGGUGU